rfam:Picea glauca, whole genome shotgun sequence.
UUCCAAAUGAGGAAGGGCUUAUGGUGGAUACCUAGGCACCCAGAGAUGAGGAAGGGCAUGGUAAGUGACGACAUGCUUCGGGGAGUUGAAAAUGAGCAUAGAUCCGGAGAUUCCUGAGUAGGUUAACCUUUUUAAUUGCUACUUACUCCAUGGGCAGGUAAGAGACAACCUGGAAAAAUGAAACAUCUUAGUAGCCAGAGGAAUAGAAAGCAAAAGCGAUUCUCGUAGUAGCGGCAAGCAAAAUGGGAGCAGCCUAAACAGUGAAAACAGGGUUGUGGGAGAGCACAAUAUAAGAUCUAUGCUGCUAGGAGAAAUGGUUGAGUCUUGCACCCUAGAUGGUGAGAGUCUAGUAGCCAAACCCAUCAUUGGGUUACGCUCUAACCUGAGUAGCAUGGGGCACGUGGAAUCCCAUGUGAAUCAGCAAGGACCACCUUGAAAGGCUAAAUACUCAUGGGUGAUUGAUAGCGAAGUAGUACCAUGAGGGAAAGGUGACAAGAACCCCCAUCGGGGACUGAAAUAGAACAUGAAAUCAUAAGCUCCCAAGAAGUGGGAGGAAAAUGAUAUUUCUGACCGCGUGCCUAUUGAAGAAUGAGCCAGUGACUUAUAGGCAGUGGCUUGUUUAAGGGAACCCACUAGAUCCAUAGCGAGAGAGAGUCUUCAUGGGGCAAUUGUCACUUCUUAUGGACCCAAACCUGGGUGAUCUAUCCAUGACCAAGAUGAAUAUUGGGUGAAACUAAGUGGAGGUCCGAACCAACUAAUGUUGAAAAAUUAGUGGAUGAGUCAUGGUUAGGGGUGAAAUACCACUCGAACCCAGAGCUAGCUGGUUCUCCCCAAAAUGCGUUGAGGUGCAACAGUUGACCAGACCAUCUAGGGGUAAAGCAUUGUUUCGGUACAGGUCGCGAGAGCGGUACCAAAUCGAGGCAAACUCUGAAUACUAGAUUGCCCCAAUAAAAUGGGUAACGGUCAACCAGUGAGACGAUCGGGGAUAAACUUCAUCGUCGAGAGGGAAAAAACCCAUAUCAUCAACUAAUGCCCUUAAAUGACCACUCGGUGAUGAAGGAAGUAUGAGUGCAAAGACAGUUAGGAGGUUUGCCUAGAAGCAUCCAACCUUGAAAGAGUGUGUAAUAGCUCACUGAUCAAAUGCUCUUGCGCCGAAUAUGAACGGGACUAAGUGAUAUGUCGAAGUUGUGGGGUGUAAAAAUACAUCGGUAGGGGAGUGUUCUACCUCAGAGGGAAGCACUGGCAUGAGCAAGUGUGGACAAAGCAGAAGCGAGAAUUUCAUCUUGAGUAACACAAACAUUGGUGAGAAUCCAUUGCCUCGAAAACCUAAGGGUUCCUCUAUAAGGUUCGUCCACGGAGGGUGAGUCAGGGCCUAAGAUCAGGCCGAAAGGCGUAGUCUAUGGACAACAGGUUAAUAUUCUUGUACUAGCCCUUGUUGGUCCUGAGGGACGAAGGAGGCUAGGUUAGCCGGAAGAUGGUUAUCGGUUCAAGGAUGCAAGGUGACCCUCUAUACAUUGAUUCAAAGGUAAAAGAAGAAUCAAAUAUAGGUGUGUACAAGGUGAGGUUGGGGGUGGAUAUUCCUCAUCAUCUACUCUAGCACACAAAAAUCUAACAUGGAUUAUCUAAACAUUAUAGGAUGCACAAAAUCAUGUAGGAGCACCCAUAUCAUCAAUGAGGGUGAGUAUACCUCCUAGGAGAUAUGUUAACCAUAUUGUAUUAGAUUCUUCCAUUUGUGAUCUUUACAAUUGUUUUGAGGAGGUGAUGUGUGAUACUGAUCUAAAAAUAAAGAAGACUUGUAUUAUUGAAAUUAUUUGCAAGAUUUAAAUCAUGUGUUAAAAUGCAAAUGGUUCAACUUUGCAACACAACUUUUAUAUAAAUUACUCAUUCAAGAUGCAUAUAAAAAACAACAAUAAACAGUGAACAAAAAAAAACAUAACACAACAAAUGAUAAAGGAGUUGACCCCUCUCCUGGGAUACAUCUCCCGGUCCAGCUUCCAAUGGAUCUUUUGUAUUAUUU